UCCCUUGUGGCUCAGUUGGUAGAGCAUGGUGUUUGCAACGCCAGGGUUGUGGGUUUGAUUUCCACGGGGGGCC
rfam:Salmo salar isolate Sally breed double haploid chromosome ssa18, whole genome shotgun sequence.